ACCUGGAGCCGGUAGUUUUCAAGCAGUUUUUAUGCCCCAAGCAGUUUUACGCCCCUGUUGUUCUUCAUGCGUCCAGUAGGGGGAGGCUGUAUAUUAGUAUAUGAGCCUAGUCAUCAAAACAGCAGACCAUAUCUGUAUGAUGGCAGCAGACAUUUUUUGAAGCAAUACGAAUUGAGGUAUGUAAAUAAGUUAUUGUUGUUGAUUGUAUUGUAAUGAUGCAACAUUUAUUAUUUAUAAACGAUUGAUGCGAUAUCAAUUCAAAAGAUGGGUCAGUAAUUUAUUUCGAGAGGCAAAAGUACUUGAUUGAGUCAGUCUGUCUGACUCAAACUUAGCUAACCACGUGUAGGUUAAGCUGCCCCUAGUCUUCUCUUUACCCGCUCUGUCUCACUCACUUUUAAAAUUAAUUACAUUUUUAUUUUUAUCUUGUUGUCUGUCUUUAGCUUGCGUUACAUGGCUUCUUCUGGUAAGUGAGCUUUUCUAUUUUCUUCCUUAGAAGGUUGCUAUAAAGUUUAUUGCUGGUCAUUAAAUUCUAACAAUACAACUUAAAUACUAAUCCUGUAACAUUACAAUUUCUGUUAGCUUGACAUGCUUGCAAUCAGGGAGUGGUGGUGUCUACGUCUAAUUGAGCGGUUUGAGACAGAGGGGAGUUUUCCAGGACUAACACAUGACUUGCCACAACAUGUUGUUGCCAGGAGGAACCGAAAGUUAUCCAACCAGGCUCUGGUGGACUUCAUUGUGGCAAGAGGAACCGAUAACCACAUUCAGUCCAUCAUCAAUGGACA